GACAAACUUGAUUCACAUGAUUUGGAGGAGGCACAUUUUUAUAUUUUGAAGAACUGUGAUGAAAUUCAACCAUUUCUCGAAGAAUUUUCACAAAUUCAUAGUGAGGCCUCUCAACAAAGUUCAGAUGUGGAGUGGAAUAGACAAUUCAUUAGUUGGUUACAAAAGAAGGUUGCAGAGUUGUACAAACAUGAUGAUAGUAAGAGAAUGGCA